rnacentral:rRNA from 1 species
GAUGAACGCUGGCGGCGUGCUUAACACAUGCAAGUCGAACGAGAAGUGAAGACGGAAACCUUCGGGCGGAAGGCUUUAUUUCGAGUGGCGGACGGGUGAGUAACGCGUGGGUAACCUGCCUCAUACAGGGGGAUAACAGUUGGAAACGACUGUUAAUACCGCAUAAGACCACAGCACCGCAUGGUGCGGGGGUAAAAACUCCGGUGGUAUGAGAUGGACCCGCGUACGAUUAGCCAGUUGGCGGGGUAACGGCCCACCAAAGCGACGAUCGAUAGCCGAUCUGAGAGGAUGACCGGCCACAUUGGGACUGAGACACGGCCCAAACUCCUACGGGAGGCAGCAGUGGGGAAUAUUGCACAAUGGGGGAAACCCUGAUGCAGCGACGCCGCGUGAGUGAAGAAGUAUUUCGGUAUGUAAAGCUCUAUCAGCAGGGAAGAAAAUGACGGUACCUGAGUAAGAAGCCCCGGCUAACUACGUG